AUUGCACGCUGGCGGCAGGCCUAACACAUGCAAGUCGAACGAGUGGCGGACGGGUGAGUAAUGUCUGGGAAACUGCCUGAUAGCGGGGGAUAACUACUGGAAACGGUAGCUAAUACCGCAUACAAUUGGAUGUGCCGAGAUGGGAUUAGCUAGUAGGUGGGGUAACGGCUCACCUAGGCGACGAUCCCUAGCUGGUCUGAGAGGAUGACCAGCCACACUGGAACUGAGAAAAGGUCCAGACUCCUACGGGAGGCAGCAGUGGGGAAUAUUGCACAAUGGGCGAAAGCCUGAUGCAGCCAUCCCGCGUGUAUGAAGAAGGCCUUCGGGUUGUAAAGUACUUUCAGCGGGGAGGCGUUACCCGCAGAAGAAGCACCGGCUAACUCCGUGCCAGCAGCCGCGGUAAUUC
rnacentral:rRNA from 1 species